UACAGAGGUCCCAAGCGUUGUUCGGAUUCACUGGGCGUAAAGGGCGCGUAGGCGGUUCCGUAAGUCAGGCGUGAAAGCUCACGGCUCAACUGUGGACGUGCGUCUGAUACUGCGGUGACUUGAGGUCGGUAGAGGUAAGUGGAACUAGCGGUGUAGCGGUGAAAUGCGCAGAUAUCGCUAGGAACGCCGGUGGCGAAGGCGACUUGCUGGGCCGUACCUGACGCUGAUGCGCGAAAGCUAGGGGAGCGAACCGG
rnacentral:rRNA from 1 species